CAGUGCCCCCGGUGCCUUCUUAUCCAGCGCUUCCAGCGGGAGUGGAAGGGGGCCAGAAGGAGGGUUCGGGGCAGCGUUGAUUGCUUUCUCGUUAAUAAUUUUCCUUGAUCCCCCCCCAGGACGCCGAGAGGCUGCAGGGAGCCUGGGCGGGCCCUGGAGGCCCCGGGAGGGGAAAGCGGCCCACAUGCCUGGCAUUCCUGCUCUGCUUCCACAUUGUUUGUUUGUUUGCUUGUUUGCAAGUACGGCCGGCAGGAGUUCCUUUCUCCUUUCAGAUUCUGCUGGGACUUUUAGCAAGUUCUAGAACCACCCCCUGGCCCAGGCGGGGAACGUUCCAGCACCCUCCGGGCUACACCCCCCUCUCCCCACCCCGACACCCACGCCGAGGAUUAUCUUUCCUUGGAGUGUGUGCAUCUAGGCUGCAUGUGCACCCUGGCCACGCAGAGCCCACGCCCAGUGUCUCUGGGCCUCCCCCGUCGGAACCGGAACCGCCACCCUGCGGGGAGGUGGGAGGUGGGGACGGCCCCGCCGAGGGCGGCAAAGAGCAGAUUUCUGCCGCUUGGCCGGGCUGAGCUGCGGUGGACGCCGAGCCUGGGUCCAGGGGAGGGGGCCCGACCGCGGACGCCGGUGGACAGCGGCCAGCCUCCCUGGUGAGGAAUCCCAGCUCGCUGUGAGGUGCACACGCCAGGCCUGUCUUUCCACGAAGUCAGCUUUAUUCGGUCACAAAGCAAGGCCCUCGGGUUCCCGGCGGGAUUCCACCGAGCCUGCAGCCCCGUGUCUGUGUCCCAGUGUGCAUUCCAGCACAUUCCAUCACCCCAAAAGAAGCCCGUCUCAUCAGCCGUCAUCUCCCCCCCGCCCCCACGAGCCCCCUUCUCAUCCGUGGAUGAGCCUGUUCUGGGCGUUUCACACACGCGGACUCACACCCCGUGUGGCCUCUCGUGUCCGGUUCCCUCCCCGAGCGUCGUGUGUUCGGGGUCCGUCACUCCUGCUCGCGACUCAGUGAUGUGCGCAUGCACGGGGGACACGUCGGUCUGUGGACGUGCGCGUGCACCGUGGACACGUCGUGUGUGUCCCUCCACAAGUGGGCGGGCAUCUUUGGCUGCUGGGAACAGUUGUGAGCGGGCACCGUGGGCACACUCGCGUGUGCAGUUUGAGACAUGCACACACGGGCGGCGAGUCUCUGCCUGGCUGUCUUCCACGGCGGCCGCCCCGUUUUACCGUCUUCCCAUCGCUGAGUGGACGCGGCGCGGAUCCUGGGGUCGGACCCUGGCCUUGGUGCCUGGUGGACUCAGGCCGUCGCCAGGCACCGCGGACCACGUGGUGUGUUUUCAUCGUUCGAGAGCCGGGUGCACGGAGAGGGCUGGGAAGCUGGACAAGUUUGGGCAGCCCCACGCUGCGCUGCUGCCUUGGACUCCGUGGGCUCGUAAAACCUGCCCCGAGUGUUCGCCGCACCACUUUCUUGAGCGUGAGGCCUCAUCGCAACUCGGGAAACUGAGGCUCAGGCGGUCCCAGUCGGUCACUCCUCCCAGAGGUGGGGGAUAUGAAGCAUCAUCUGCCUGAUCCUGGUUUCCAGCCACCUUCAGGGUCCGUCCGGGCACUGGCAACCCACCUUGGUCCCAUGGAUUCCUGUGAUGGUCUCACAGACAGUGGCCUGAGCUCUGCGGAGGCAAAUGGUGUCCAUACACAGCCCACGGUGUUUACAGCAGCUUCAUUCAGAAUUGGCCAAACUUGGGAGCAAGUGUGCUGCCCUUCCUUCAACAGGUGACAGAUAGACCGCGCUCCAUCCGGCACUAAAAACGGGCCAUCGAGCCGCACAGAGACACGGGGGAGCCUCAGACGCACAGCACUCGGUGACAGAAGCCAGGCUGAGGAGGCGACACACGGGGUGGUUCCAAGUCCAGGAUGUUCUGGACGAGGCAGGACCACGGAGGCAUGGCUGCCGGGGUGGGGGAGGGUGAAUGGGAGGAGCACGGGAAUUUCAGGGCGGUGGGUCUACUCCGGACGACACCGUGGUGGUGGGCAGGUGUCCGUGACAUUCGUCCGAACCCACGGGGUGUGCCGCACCAGGAGUGACCUCGUGUCCGCUGUGGACCGUGGUUCGUCACCUUCAGAGCUGGCUCACCCGUGUGACUAACGUACCAGGCCAAUGCACACUGCUAAUGAUGAAAAGACACCACGGUGAGGGAGACGGAGGGAGCUCUAUGCAGGUUCUGCUCAGUUUUUUGUAACCCUCAAACUGAUUUUUUAAAAAGCGUACUUUUGGGGCGCCUGGGUGGCUCGGUCGGUUAAGCGGCCGACUUCGGCUCAGGUCACGAUCUCGCGGUACGUGACUUUGAGCCCCGCGUCGGGCUCUGGGCUGACGGCUCAGAGCCUGGAGCCUGUUUCGGAUUCUGUGUCUCCCUCUCUCUGACCCUCCCCUGUUCAUGCUCUG